rnacentral:rRNA from 1 species
CGCUGGCGGCGUGCUUAACACAUGCAAGUUGAACGGUAUGACAUGGAAGCUUGCUGAAGUGUCGAUAUAGUAGCGGACGGGUGAGUAAUGCAUGAGAAGCUGCCAUUGGGAGGGGGACAACAGUUGGAAACGGCUGCUAAUACCCCCGUAUGCCGGAGGGUGAAAGGGAGUAAUCCGCCCGAUGAGGUGCUCAUGUCCUAUCAGCUGGUUGGUGGGGUAACGGCCUACCAAGGCGACGACGGGUAGCCGGCCUGAGAGGGUGAACGGCCACACUGGAACUGAGAUACGGUCCAGACUCCUACGGGAGGCAGCAGUGGGGAAUAAUUGGGCAAUGGGGGCAACCCUGACCCAGCGACGCCGCGUGGGGGAAGACGGCCUUCGGGUUGUAAACCUCUUUUGUACGGGAAGAAGGAAGUGACGGUACUGUACGAAUAAGUCCCGGCUAACUACGUGCCAGCCGCCGC